AUUGAACGCUGGCGGCAUGCCUUACACAUGCAAGUCGAACGGCAGCGGACCUUCGGGUGCCGGCGAGUGGAGAACGGGUGAGUAGAGUAUCGGAACGUACCAUUCAGUGGGGGAUAACGUAGCGAAAGUUACGCUAGUCCCGCUUAUUCUGUGAGCAGGAAAGCAGGUGAUCGCAAGACCUUGAGCUGAUUCAGCGGCCGAUAGAAGUUUAGCUAGUUGGUGGGGUAAAGGCCUACCAAGGCGACGAUCUGUAGCGGGUCUGAGAGGAGGAUCCGCCACACUGGGACUGAGACACGGCCCAGACUCCUACGGGAGGCAGCAGGGGGGGAUUUUGGACAAUGGGCGCAAGCCUGAUCCAGCCAUGCCGCGUGAGUGAAGUAGGCGUUCUGGUUGUAAAGCUCUUUCUGCCGGGAAGAAAUCGCAUGGGCUAAUACCCUGUGUGGAUGACGGUACCGGAAUAAGAAGCACCGGCUAACUACGUGCCAGCCGCCGCAGUAACAC
rnacentral:rRNA from 1 species